UACGUAGGGUGCAAGCGUUAAUCGGAAUUACUGGGCGUAAAGCGUGCGCAGGCGGUGAUGUAAGACAGAUGUGAAAUCCCCCGGGCUCAACCUGGGAACUGCAUUUGUGACUGCAUCGCUGGAGUGCGGCAGAGGGGGGAUGGAAUUCCGCGUGUAGCAGUGAAAUGCGUAGAUAUGCGGAGGAACACCGAUGGCGAAGGCAAUCCCCUGGGCCUGCACUGACGCUCAUGCACGAAAGCGUGGGGAGCAAACAGG
rnacentral:rRNA from 1 species